UGGAAGUGAACAAGAUUUCUGCACAGAGAUUUUCCCUGGUCAAGAGUGCAACAUGAGCCGUGGAUAUGAACUUUACUGUCAGAUGUACAUUGAUUGGAAAGUGAACAAGAUAUCUGCACUGAGAAUGAAUGAAGUUGAAGAAAGUUGAAAGGCACCCCAGAAGAACCUGAAUUAUUUUAGCCCUAUCCUAGAUUCAUUGAAUAUUUUAGUGUGUGAUAACAUGUGUGAAAUGUGAUCAAUUAUGUGACAAUUUUCAAAACUUGGAUUUAU